GACGAACGCUGGCGGCGUGCUUAACACAUGCAAGUCGAACGAAGAGCGACGGAAGCUUGCUUCUAUCAAUCUUAGUGGCGAACGGGUGAGUAACGCGUAAUCAACCUGCCCUUCAGAGGGGGACAACAGUUGGAAACGACUGCUAAUACCGCAUACGAUCUAAUCUCGGCAUCGAGGAUAGAUGAAAGGUGGCCUCUACAUGUAAGCUAUCACUGAAGGAGGGGAUUGCGUCUGAUUAGCUAGUUGGAGGGGUAACGGCCCACCAAGGCGAUGAUCAGUAGCCGGUCUGAGAGGAUGAACGGCCACAUUGGGACUGAGACACGGCCCAGACUCCUACGGGAGGCAGCAGUGGGGAAUCUUCCGCAAUGGACGAAAGUCUGACGGAGCAACGCCGCGUGAGUGAUGACGGCCUUCGGGUUGCAAAGCUCUGUUAAUCGGGACGAAAGGCCUUCUUGCGA
rnacentral:rRNA from 1 species